rnacentral:rRNA from 1 species
CCUACGGGUGGCAGCAGUGAGGAAUAUUGGUCAAUGGACGCAAGUCUGAACCAGCCAUGCCGCGUGCAGGAAGACGGCUCUAUGAGUUGUAAACUGCUUUUGUACGAGGGUAAACGCAGAUACGCGUAUCUGUCUGAAAGUAUCGUACGAAUAAGGAUCGGCUAACUCCGUGCCAGCAGCCGCGGUAAUACGGAGGAUUCAAGCGUUAUCCGGAUUUAUUGGGUUUAAAGGGUGCGUAGGCGGUCGGAUAAGUUAGAUGUGAAAUCCCGAGGCUCAACCUCGGAAUUGCCUCUGAUACUGGUAGGCUAGAGAGUAGUAGCGGUAGGCGGAAUGUAUGGUGUAGCGGUGAAAUGCUUAGAUAUCAUACAGAACACCGAUUGCGAAGGCAGCUUACCAAGCUACUACUGACGUUGAGGCACAAAAGCGUGGGUAGCAAACAGGAUUAGAUACCCGGGUAGUC